rnacentral:rRNA from 1 species
UACGUAGGGUGCGAGCGUUGUCCGGAAUUAUUGGGCGUAAAGAGCUCGUAGGCGGUGUGUCACGUCGGCCGUGAAAACCUGGGGCUUAACUCUGGGCGUGCGGUCGAUACGGGCAUCACUAGAGUUCGGCAGGGGAGACUGGAAUUCCUGGUGUAGCGGUGGAAUGCGCAGAUAUCAGGAGGAACACCGGUGGCGAAGGCGGGUCUCUGGGCCGAUACUGACGCUGAGGAGCGAAAGCGUGGGGAGCGAACAGG